rnacentral:rRNA from 1 species
UACGUAGGGUGCAAGCGUUGUCCGGAAUUAUUGGGCGUAAAGAGCUCGUAGGCGGUUAGUCGCGUCUGCUGUGAAAACUCGGGGCUUAACUCCGGGCCUGCAGUGGGUACGGGCUGACUAGAGUGCGGUAGGGGAGACUGGAAUUCCUGGUGUAGCGGUGAAAUGCGCAGAUAUCAGGAGGAACACCGGUGGCGAAGGCGGGAUCCUGGGCCAGUACUGACGCUGAGGAGCGAAAGCGUGGGGAGCAAACAGG